AGCCUUCCCUGGAUGCCAGUGACCCACCUAUAAAAUGGGGCCAAUCACACGGCGGAGGGAGGACUCAGGGUGCUGUAGGAGACACACCUGCCUGGGAGGUUGCCAGCACCCUCCCUCACAUGGCUUGUGACCAGCCUCAUAUGUCCGUGCCACAGGUUACCAGGGGGUGCCCAGGAGAUUAUAGAGGGAGGGACAUUCUGGUCCUUGGACAGCCACAACCUGUCUAUAAAGUGAGACCAGAGGACCUGAGAACUCCACUCCGGGAGCUGACUCCCUCUCAGCCAACACCCCCAGAGAAGGCUACACUGUGUCUUUUGUGAGACUUCAGCAGCCCCACUGGCCCGGCUUCCUGUCAGGGUGCUCCUUGGGCAGCUAUUUCUUGAGAGGGAGUUCUGGGGGGCUGUGUAAGGUGCACACACCCACUGUCUCCAGGACGAGAAACUCUCUCCCAGGCUCCCGAGCCCAACCACUCACUCUUACUAAGUAACGACUGUAGAAACCUCAGUGCUGAUGCCCCCACACACAUCUGCACACACACACACACACCCCUGCGCAUGGGCACACCUGCACACAGUCACACCUGUGCACGCGUACACCUGCGCACACGCACACCUUUGCUGCCUGCACUGAACCCCUGAAGUCCCCACCCCACUAGCCUGGAUUCUAACCCUCCACACUUUCCUCUGCCACUUGUCCAGUGUCCUCCACAUCCUUCAGCUACGUUCUCUGCACCCCUCAGGGCUACCCUCACCUCUUCACCAUUGACCGCUAGGAGGUCGUAGGGCCCAGGGAGCCACUAUGGGGUGGGAUGCUUGGUACUCACAUACUCUGUCCCCACAGGUCACUACUGCCCAGGAGGGACAUCCUCUGCCCUUCCCUGCCCAGAGGGUACCCUAAACCCACAAGAAGGCGCUCUCUCCCCUGGGGCCUGCCAGCCCUGUCCUGCAGGGAGAUACUGCCCCGGGGAGGGCAGCAGGCAGGCUGAGGGUGGUGCCUCUGAGCGAAGCUGUGGGCCCUGUCCAGCUGGCUCAUUCUGCCCUGGCCUGGGCCUAAGCUCUCCUAUCAGCUCCUGUGUGGUUGGCCUGGAAUGCUCCUGGGACCUCAGGACCUCCAGCCCCAUGGCUUUCCUCUGCCCUCAGGGUCACUUCUGCCAACCAGGGUCUGCUUGGCCUGCCCCGUGCCACCAAGGGGAGUACCAGCCCUCCCUAGGCUCAGACACCUGCCUCUCGUGUCCACCCGGCUUUCACUGCCCACAUCCUGGCACCAGAAUGCCCAGGCUUUGUCCUGCACACGCCUACUGCCCAAAUGGUAAGCCCAGAG
rnacentral:lncRNA from 12 species